rnacentral:rRNA from 2 species
CCUAGUUAAUUCUGCUAGUAGUUAUAUGCUUGUCUUAAAGAUUAAGCUAUAUAUAUCUAAGUAUAAGCAAUUAUACCAUAAAACUGCAAAUAGCUUAUUAAAUUAGUUAUCGUUUAUUUAAUAGUACCUUACUACUUAGAUAACUAUAGUAAUUCUAGAGCUAAUACAUGCUAAAAACCCUAACUUUAGAAGGUUUGGCGCCAACAAUUAGAUAAAAAACCAACGCCCUUUAGGGCUUCUUAGUGAUUUAUAAUAACUUUACGGAUUAUAUAGCCUUACGCUAGCGACAGUUUAUUUAAAUUUCUGCCCUAUUAACUUUUAAUAGUAAGGUAUUAGCUUACCAUGGUUUUAACAGGUAACGGGGAAUUAGGGUUUAAUUCUAGAGAGGGAGCCUAAGAAAUGGCUACCACAUCUAAGGAAGGCAGCAGGCGCGCAAAUUACCUAAUCCUAAUAUAGGGAGGUAGUAACAAUAAAUACUAAUAUAGGGCUCUUUUAGGUCUUAUAAUUAGAAUAAGUAUAAUUUAAACCUCUUAACAAGGAACAAUUAGAGGGCAAGUCUAGUGCUAGCAGCUGCAGUAAUUCUAGCUCUAAUAGCGUAUAUUAAAGUUGUUACAGUUAAAAAGCUUAUAGUUAAAACUUAGGUCUAGCUAGCAGGUCCGCCUCACCGCGUGUACUUGUCCGGCCAGGCCUUCCUUCUAGAGAACCUUAUACCCUUUACUAGGCGUGUUAGGGACUAGGACUUUUACUUUGAAAAAAUUAGAGUGUUUAAAGCAGGCCUUUGCUUAAAUACGUUAGCAUAGAAUAAUAGAAUAGGACGUGCAGUCCUAUUUUAUUAGUUUCUAGGACUGCUGUAAUAAUUAAUAGGGACAGUUAGGGGCAUUAGUAUUUAAUUAUUAGAGGUAAAAUUCUUAGAUUUAUUAAAGACUAACUACUACAAAAGCAUUUGCUAAGGAUGUUUUUAUUAAUUAGUAAACAAAAGUUAGGGGAUUAAAGACAAUUAGAUACCGUCGUAGUCUUAACCGUAAACUAUGCUAACUAGGGAUUAGGCGAUGUGUAGAAAAUUGGAUCACUAAGGUUAGGAAUGAUUUAGGAGAUGGAUUAUUAGAUUGUAUCUACUACGAUCGGACUUAUAUAUAUAGAGCUUUAGCUACCCUUACUAGAAGGUGAAUAAUUAGUAAACCUUCCUUACUAGAGCUCCUGCUUUUUAUUAGGCGCUUAGCAGUAAGCUGGCAGUUAAUUAGAUAGUAGGUCAUAUAGGGGUAUUAAUUAGGAUUGAUUGGAUUAAGAUGCUCCGUGAUCCAGUUGAUAUCCCUCCUGCAACACACCCCCUAGGUAUAGGUGGAUCUUUUGUUGUUGUGGUUGCGCUUGUGGUUAGUAGGUAGUGUAGCUAAUUAGAGCGUCGUAUAUCCAAAGGGUUAAAUUAGCUCACCCUUUAGAUACUAACUAG